UGGAGGGGCUGUCCCCUGGAGAGAGCAUGUCAACCGCGGUAUGAGGCCAGUCAUUGGUUCAGUGUGAGGCAGUGAGUGAGGGAAUCUUUCUGCAACCUGGACAUUCCCGCCAUCAACGUGGAGCUGGACGGCAUUCUGGAGGUGGCGUACGGCGCCCUCCACAGGCACUCUGUGGUCAUGGCGGCCGUGGCGCUGGAGGCCUCGGGCAGGGCGGAGCCAGAGGAGGACUCAGAGAGCACGGCAUUAUGACAUCACGACACCCUCACCCAAUCCCAGACCACCUCCACUGCAACCUCAUACACCAACACCCCCUCCACCACUCUUGGAUGCUAUACACCCAACCCAUGUUCUCCACCUGCACAGGAUUGGAUUGCAUCAUCUACUGCAACUACGGAGGCCUGUAGUGCCCAAAAUAGCCCUUCAUACUAGCUUUCCCUACAGACUACGACAUGACAUUGUCAAUAAACAGUAUAUAAGAUCAAUAUGAAAACAGUGUACAGAAACCAGAAGUACCACUGGCAGAACACAACCGUGAUGCAUCAACAGAGGACACAAAGUCAGUUCUUUUUUUUAAACAUCGUAACAAGUUUUUUAAUGUUGUUAUUUUUUCUGUUGUUUGUGUCUUUAUCUUUUUCUUUGCCUUACCUAUUUUGCCUUUAAUGACCUACGAAGACGGAGCAGAGCUGCAGAGAAAUUAAAUAAAAGACACUUAAGGCAUCUUUAGCGCUCUCUUUCACGACAGCUAAUCUGAUUUCCCUGC